rnacentral:rRNA from 1 species
ACGAACGCUGGCGGCGUGCUUAGCACAUGCAAGUCGAGCGGUAAGGCCCUUUCGGGGGUACACGAGCGGCGAACGGGUGAGUAACACGUGGGUGACCUGCCCUCAGCUCUGGGAUAAGCCUGGGAAACCGGGUCUAAUACUGGAUAUGACUCCAUGACGCAUGUUGUGGGGUGGAAAGCCUUGUGCGGCUGAGGAUGGGCCCGCGGCCUAUCAGCUUGUUGGUGGGGUGAUGGCCUACCAAGGCGACGACGGGUAGCCGGCCUGAGAGGGCGACCGGCCACACUGGGACUGAGACACGGCCCAGACUCCUACGGGAGGCAGCAGUGGGGAAUCUUGCGCAAUGGGCGAAAGCCUGACGCAGCGACGCCGCGUGAGGGAUGACGGCCU